rnacentral:rRNA from 1 species
CGCAUCUGUGCAUGCAGCAUAUCAAUAAGCGGAGGAAAAGAAACUAACGAGGAUUCCCCUAGUAACGGCGAGUGAAGCGGGAAGAGCUCAAAUUUGAAAUCUUAAAGGGUUUCCCCUUGACGAAUUGUAGUUUAAAGAAGUGUUUUCUGUUGAGGUUUUGGUGAAAGUUCUUUGGAAUAGGACAUCAUAGAGGGUGAGAAUCCCGUAUUUGACCAUUAUUUUCAGCUUUGUGAUACACUUUCAAAGAGUCGGAUUGUUUGGGAAUGCAGUCCAAAAUGGGUGGUAAAUUUCAUCUAAAGCUAAAUAUUGGCGAGAGACCAAUAGCGAACAAGUACCGUGAGGGAAAGAUGAAAAGAACUUUGAAAAGAGAGUUAAAACAGUACGUGAAAUUGUCAAAAGGGAAGCGUUUGACACCAGUGUUGUUUUUCUGAAAAUCAAUUAAAGAACUGUUUAUGCUAAGCUGUUUAGACUUUAUCAGCUAUCUGUUUAGUUUUGAGCUUUUCUUUAAUGCACUUUUCAGUUAACAAGUCAACAUCAAUUUCUUUUGCUGUAAAAAAGCUUGAGGAAGGUGGCUUGAGAUUCGUCUUAAGUGUUUAUAGCCUCUUGCCUAUGCAGUCGGAGAGAUUGAGGUCUGCAGCGUAGAUCCUUCGGGGCUAAAUGCAUUUGUGCUAAGUUAUAGCAUUUUAUAGACAACUUGUUGACUAUGAUUUGUCUUGUAGCUUACUCGCUUAUGUUAUUUUACCUACGCUUAGGAUGUUGAUAGUCACAGCGUGUAC